UUAGUCUUUACAGUGUAACAGUUACAGAAUAUGAGUGUAUCAUAUUCAUCUGUUUGCCAGCUGUGGAGCAUCCCAUCCAAGCAACAUAAGAUUUCCCCAAGGAGAAGAAGAGGAAUGGGAGUUUGUAGGAAGGGCUGACUCUGAAGCCACCGUGCUUUUCUACCGUUGGCCUAUGGCAGUCUACCAAGCCCAGACACAUGGCUCUUGUGACAGUCCCUUUGGUGGGGUCUGCUUUGGGAUGAUGCUGGUCAGGCUACACUUUAUUCUGUGAAUGAUAUUCUUAGCUGUCAAAGAUUGCUUUAUAUUCUAAUGUAACUUGGUAAUGUGUCUCCAGUAGGGUGGACCAUAAAACCGUGUCAAUCUGGGUACCCUGUAAGCUUUCUGAUCUGCUUAGUGGGUAGCCAGUGUUCCUGAUGCAUGGCUAGCUGUAGGAUCACGCACUUUAAGAGGAGAACUGGGAGAAAUCUUGCAUUCACAUGGGAACAUAAAACUCAUCUCUUAACUGAAGCUAUAUUUCCAUUGCACUAUUAAAAAAAAGAAGGAAAAAAAAAAAA